UAUUCGAUUUAUUUGUCAAAUUUUACUUAGUAUUUAGGAUGAACUUCCAAUGCAACAUUAUUAUUGUACUAAGGCAGUUAAUCAUUCCUUUAAAAAAAUUUAAGAUAUUACUUGUCCAUUUGAAGGAGCUACAAUAGUUUUUGGUAGAGAUUUUUGGCAAAUAUUGCUAGUAAUUAUAAAAGGAACUUAAAAGGAAAUUGUAGAAGUAUCUUUUUGAUGUUUAAUACUUUGGUUUCAAAUAAAAAUCCAUAUAUUAAAAGAGAACAUGAUGUUGAAUUCAAAAUUACUUUAUAU
rnacentral:lncRNA from 1 species